UUGAAACAUUCACGGUGUCAUCCGAAGGUGGUGGGUUUAAGAGAAAAUGUCUUUUAAUAGUUAGUGAACGAAUAAAUUUCUUUAAAUCUAUAAAGAGGUUAAAAUCAUUACAGGUUUUACUAGGAGCAAACUUCAUUCCUUUAGACAAUAAAUUAAUCUCAUCAUCUGUCAGGGGGGUAUUGGUUAAAUUAAAAAUACCUCUAUCUAUUUCCCUUUGUACCAAAGGAUAGAC